GUGCUCUCUUUGGCAACACAUAUACUAAAAUUGAUCGAUAAGAGAUUAGCAUGGCCCCUGCACAAGGAUGACACCCAAAUUCAUGAACCGUUCCAUUUAUAA